rnacentral:rRNA from 1 species
ACUCCUACGGGAGGCAGCAGUGGGAAUAUUGCACAAUGGGGAAAGCCCAUCGAUGCAGCCAUGCCGCGCUGUGUGAAGAAGGCCAAUUCGGGCUUGGUUAAAGACACUUUUCAGUAGGGAGGAAGGUAGUGUAGUUAACACCUGCAUUAUUUGACGUUACCUACAGAAGAAGCACCGGCUAACUCCGUGCCAGCAGCCGCGGUAAUACGGAGGGUGCGAGCGUUAAUCGGAAUUACUGGGCGUAAAGCGCAUGCAGGCGGCCUGUUAAGUCAGAUGUGAAAGCCCGGGGCUU